rnacentral:rRNA from 1 species
UACGGAGGGUGCAAGCGUUAUCCGGAUUCACUGGGUUUAAAGGGUGCGUAGGUGGGUUGGUAAGUCAGUGGUGAAAAUCUCCCGUGCUUAACAUGGAAACUGCCAUUGAUACUACUGGUCUUGAAUUUUUUCCCGGAGGUAAGCGGAAUAUGUCAUGUAGCGGUGAAAUGCUUAGAUAUGACAUAGAACACCAAUUGCGAAGGCAGCUUACUACAGGGAUAUUGACACUGAGGCACGAAAGCGUGGGGGGAUCAAACAGG